AUGGAGUACCAGCCUCUGGUGUCGGCCCUCGAUGCUCGCACCUCUCCUGUCACCCUAGAUGAGCUGUUCACCAUGCUCAGCAACUUUGACCAGCGCAUGGCGCUCUACCAGGGGGCGGGCGGCUUCAAGUCAUCCGCUAAUGCUGCCUCUCGUGGCCGUGGUGGCCGCCGCGGCGGAGCUUCACGCGGCAAGUCCCGAUCUGGUGGCGGCGGCAACUCCUCCAACAACAUCCGCGCUGGACGUUCCCCCUCCACCAACCCGAAGGGACGCGGUGGCGGUGGCGACCGUGGCUCCAACAGAGCGCGCCCGGAUGCGCCGCGAUGCCAGAUCUGCGGCAAGCUCGGGCACAGCGCUCGGGAUUGCUGGUACCGCUACGAUGAUGAUGAUGACUCCUCCCAGGAUGAGGACAAGGUGGCUGCUGCUGCGGACGGCUCCGACGGCGUCGACACUAAUUGGUAUGUCGACAGUGGGGCCACCGAACACAUCACCAGCGAGCUCGAGAAGGUGACCACGCGGGAGAAGUACUGCGGCAAGGACCAAAUCCACACUGCUAGUGGUGCAGGAUCAGGCAACGAAGAAAGUACUUUAUCGAGGUAG
rnacentral:rRNA from 1 species